rnacentral:rRNA from 1 species
UCGAGCGAGGCGGGGAGCAAUCCCCAGUCGAGCGGCGAACGGGUGAGUAACGCGUGGAUGACCUGCCCUUUAGUGGGGAACAACCAGGGGAAACUCUGGCUAAUACCGCAUAAGACCGCGAGGUGAAAGGGGGCCGCAAGGCUCUCGCUGAAGGAGGGGUCCGCGUCCGAUUAGCUAGUUGGUAGGGUAAUGGCCUACCAAGGCGACGAUCGGUAGCCGGCCUGAGAGGGUGAUCGGCCACACUGGAACUGAGACACGGUCCAGACUCCUACGGGAGGCAGCAGUGGGGAAUUUUGCGCAAUGGGCUAACGCCUGACGCAGCAACGCCGCGUGGAGGAUGAAGGUCUUUGGAUUGUAAACUCCUGUCAGCGGGAAAAAAGCGACCGGUGCUCAUACCACCGGGAGUUGAUUGUACCCGCAGAGGAAGCCCCGGCUAACUCUGUGCCAGCAGCCGCGGUAAUACAGAGGGGGCAAGCGUUAUUCGGAAUUAUUGGGCGUAAAGGGCGCGUAGGCGGCUUCGCAAGUGGAAGGUGAAAUCCCUCGGCUUAACCGAGGAACUGCCCUCCAAACUGCGUUGCUUGAGGCCGGGAGAGGUGAGUGGAAUUCCCAGUGUAGCGGUGAAAUGCGUAGAUAUUGGGAGGAACACCAGUGGCGAAGGCGGCUCACUGGACCGGUUCUGACGCUGAUGCGCGAAAGCGUGGGGAGCAAACGGGAUUAGAUACCCCGGUAGUCCACGCCGUAAACGAUGAGUGCUUGGUGUAGCGGGUAUCGACCCCUGCUGUGCCGAAGUCAACACAUUAAGCACUCCGCCUG